rnacentral:rRNA from 1 species
AGAGUUUGAUCAUGGCUCAGGACGAACGCUGGCGGCGUGCUUAACACAUGCAAGUCGACGAGAUGCCUUCGGGUGUCUAGUGGCGAACGGGUGAGUAACACGUGACAACCUGCCCCUGGCUCUGGGAUAGCCUCCGGAAACGGGGAUUAAUACCGGACAUGACNNNNNUCGCAUGAGGGGGGGUGGAAAGUUUUUCGGCUGGGGAGGGGCUCGCGGCCUAUCAGCUUGUUGGGGGGGUGACGGCCCACCAAGGCGACGACGGGUAGCCGGCCUGAGAGGGCGACCGGCCACACUGGGACUGAGACACGGCCCAGACUCCUACGGGAGGCAGCAGUGGGGAAUAUUGCACAAUGGGCGCAAGCCUGAUGCAGCGACGCCGCGUGCGGGAUGAAGGCCUUCGGGUUGUAAACCGCUUUCAGCAGGGGCGAAUUUGACGGUACCUGCAGAAGAAGCGCCGGCUAACUACGUGCCAGCAGCCGCGGUAAUACGUAGGGCGCGAGCGUUGUCCGGAAUUAUUGGGCGUAAAGAGCUCGUAGGCGGCCUGUUGCGUCCGCUGUGAAAUCCCAGGGCUCAACCCUGGGCGUGCAGUGGAUACGGGCAGGCUGGAGGCAGGCAGGGGAGAACGGAAUUCCCGGUGUAGCGGUGAAAUGCGCAGAUAUCGGGAGGAACACCGGUGGCGAAGGCGGUUCUCUGGGCCUGUUCUGACGCUGAGGAGCGAAAGCGUGGGGAGCGAACAGGAUUAGAUACCCCCGUAGUCC